rnacentral:rRNA from 1 species
GACAGAGGGGGCAAGCGUUGCUCGGAAUUACUGGGCGUAAAGGGCGCGUAGGCGGGAUGGCAAGUCGGUCGUGAAAUCCCUCGGCUCAACUGGGGAGCGUCGAUCGAAACUGCCGUUCUUGAGGGUUGCAGAGGAGACUGGAAUUUACGGUGUAGCAGUGAAAUGCGUAGAGAUCGUAAGGAAGACCAGUGGCGAAGGCGGGUCUCUGGACAGUUCCUGACACUGAGGCACGAAGGCCAGGGGAGCAAACGGG